UACAGAGGGUGCGAGCGUUAAUCGGAAUUACUGGGCGUAAAGCGUGCGUAGACGGCUAUCGUAAGUCGGGUGUGAAAGCCCCGGGCUCAACCUGGGAAUUGCAUUCGAGACUGAAGUAGCUAGGGUACGGUAGAGGGGAUGGAAUUCCGCGUGUAGCAGUGAAUGCGUAGAUAUGCGGAGGAACACCGAUGGCGAAGGCAGUCCCCUGGACCUGUACUGACGCUCAUGCGACGAAAGGCGUGGGGAGCAAACAGG
rnacentral:rRNA from 1 species